rnacentral:rRNA from 1 species
AUGAACGCUGGCGGCGUGCUUAACACAUGCAAGUCGAACGAACCUUCGGGUUAGUGGCGGACGGGUGAGUAACGCGUGAGAAUCUGCCCUCAGGAGGGGGAUAACGGCUGGAAACGGCCGCUAAUACCCCAUAUGCCGCGAGGUGAAAUGAAUUUCGCCUGAGGAUGAGCUCGCGUCUGAUUAGCUAGUUGGUGGGGUAAGAGCCUACCAAGGCAUCGAUCAGUAGCUGGUCUGAGAGGAUGAUCAGCCACACUGGGACUGAGACACGGCCCAGACUCCUACGGGAGGCAGCAGUGGGGAAUUUUCCGCAAUGGGCGAAAGCCUGACGGAGCAACGCCGCGUGAGGGAUGAAGGCCUCUGGGCUGUAAACCUCUUUUAUCAAGGAAGAAGAUCUGACG